UCUCUGAAGCUGAGCAAUCCUGCUGCUCUCCCCUGUGUUGAAGCCAUGCAGUGUUAAUGUGUCUGGCAUGUACAUCUAAAGGUUUUCCCUUUCUGCUAACAUUUUUGGAUCUGUUGGCAGCUCCAGAGCAAUUGCUGCCGAGCUGCGGUUCUGAGAAUUCAAAUGUUUACCACCAGGCAUAUAUUAGCCAUAUGCAUGCUCCUAAUAGUUAAAUCUGUUUUUUUAUUUUUAAGAGAGCUAUUGUAUGUCAGAAGAAAGCAUGUUAAACCUACAGCUGAGACCCAUGGCUGUAAAAAUCCUGCACUCUCUCUGCACAACUGGGAGUACCGCUCCACAUGACCGUUUCCAUUCACUUCAAUAGAGGGACCGCUCUCCUGCACAUUUUUGAGCCCUACCCUGGCAAGAGGCACAGAGAGAAAGAAAGAAAGAAAGAAAGAAAGAAAGAAAGAAAGAAAGAAAGAGACAUCAAAAGUGCAAUGUCACCAUCUCAACGUGCUAUCAGACUGAGCAGAAGCUAACUGCAGCUUUGAUCAUAUUGCCGCCUCAGCCUUAAACUUAGUGCAGAAUAAGGGAGAAGGGGAUGAUGCUGUCAGAAAUUCCUUUUAAUCUUUGAAAGAAGAAAGGAAAGAAACUGUAACUGCAGCAGUAGUAAAUCAAAGUUAGACUCCCAGAUAAGAACUGUUAGCUGAUAGAUUCAGAAUUAUUAAGUGAAUUGUAAGAUAGGAUGGGGUGUUGUACAUUUUCUUCGUGUAUAUCAAACCGGCAGUGUAAUGUUCUUAACAUUAAUAUGUUUUUAAACCAUGCAAUAAGGUUCAGUGGGGCAUUCCAUGGUAAUUGAGCAUAGGAUAGCAGCCUUAAUUAUCUGUCUUUGUUUUUUGGUUCCUGUAUGAUAAUAAAUAAAACAAAUAAAUGUGAUCCAAAAAGUUUAGUGGCACUCAAAAUCA